CAGCAGCCGCGGGAAUACGGAGGGUGCGAGCGUUAAUCGGAAUUACUGGGCGUAAAGCGUACGCAGGCGGUUUGUUAAGUCAGAUGUGAAAUCCCCGAGCUUAACUCGGGAACUGCAUUUGAAACUGGCAGGCUAGAGUCUCGUAGAGGGGGGUAGAAUUCCAGGUGUAGCGGUGAAAUGCGUAGAGAUCUGGAGGAAUACCGGUGGCGAAGGCGGGUCUCUGGGCAGUAACUGACGCUGAGGAGCGAAAGCGUGGGGAGCGAACAGGAUUAGAUACCCCUGUAGUCCCUGUCUCUUAUAC
rnacentral:rRNA from 1 species